GUUCUUCAUGUCCAGUUUGUGAAAUCAAAUAUACAAUCAAUUUGUAGGGUAGUAGAUACGCAGAUGAAGCCAAUUAGGCUUCUGGAACCGCCCGGUAGUCCACCGAGAGGCGUACCAGACAUCUUCGAAGGCGGUGUCUACGGUGUCGUCAAGUGCGUUGUUAUAAUCGUUUCUAGGUAAUACAUGUAUGGGGGAUGAUGAUCAAGCAAAAGCAAUCGAACCGAACACACCAAUCAACGCUUCCGCACUUGAUCUAUUUUGUUUUAUGAUUAU
rnacentral:lncRNA from 1 species